UUUAGAAGAGAAGAGAAAAGAAAAAGAAAGUUGGUCACGAGGAGAAAGUGAGUUGUGUUGACAAGGAAUUAAAUUAAAAAUGGAGAAAAAUGAAUUGAUGAAGUUGAAAAGUAGUGAGAGUCAGGUGAUGGACGGUUCAGAUAUAAUGAAGUUAGUUGGAAAUGAGGCUGUGUUUAGUAACUUUGUAGAUCAUAAGUUUGAAGAACUUGACAUAGACAAAGACGGUAAACUUUCAGUGAAGGAGUUACAACCUGCUGUUGCUGAUAUUGGUGUUGCCCUUGGUUUACCUCCUCAAGGUUCUUCCCCUGAAUCUGAUCAUAUCUACUCUGAGGUACUUCCAUUUCUCACUUCAAAAAUACCAUAAAAACUUGUCAGGUUUGUUAGUAUUAAAUAAAUUUAUCAGGUUACUUUAUCCAUCAAAACCUAACUAGGAGUAACAUUUUUUUUGUUUCCGUUGAAUUUUGAACCACGAUCCCUCUAAUUUUCACCCACUUUGUUGAUGUUGUUACAUAUUCUUAAACAAAUAUAUAUACACAUGUAUUUUGGUUAAUUAUUGGUUGAAAUAGUAAAUGCAUAUCGCAAAUGGUACUGGUAUGGGGCCGUAAGAAGCCAGAUGUUUAAUGAUUACAGAGUGCUUGAGAUGAGACAGCAACUCAACUGGACUCUUGUGUUUGGACUGUUUAUUUAUUUUCUUCAUUUUUUUAAUUCAAGGGUUCAAGUUAUCAAGUUUCAAAGUCAUGGAUAUGGAUGCGGUUCCAUUUGCACGCACUCAAAUAUUUUUAAGGGAUAGUCCAAAAAUAGAUAUUUUAAUAUCGCCUAACUCCCAAAUAAACAAUUAAACUUUUGAAAAUGUGUAUCUAGGCACUUUAACUUUUAAGUUGUCCUAUAAAUACCACACAACUUUGAGAAUGUAGUCCGUUGAAGGUGUCUGAUGUGUAUAAACAAAGUUAAAAGGUGUUCGUGAGGUGCACCUAUGUAAGUAGAAGAGUUCAUGAAAAAAAUUACACCAUAUAUAGAUAGCUUAAUAUCCUAGUUGAAAAUAUUAUUUAUUCAAAAAUAGUGUAUGUCUUUUGAUGAGUCUUGGCAUUUAAGUUGUUCUGUCUGUACUUUUUUUUGUUUUUUGUCCCCCUCCUUUUUCCUUAACCAUUUGGAAUCACCAUUGAAGAAGAGAUGGAGAUUGCCUAGAAAUGUUCUUCUUUUUUUUUUUAACUUCUUAAUUUUUGAAUCUGCCGACAAUGAUGAUAUGGACAGAAAAAAUUUGGUUAAUUCUAUUUUUUAAAGAUUGUUCUCAGAGGCAGCAUUCAUACUUUUUAUGGACAGGUACCUGUAAAAGUUUUUUACAUUGUCAGUGUAUAGUAGUUAAAUUCUUCUCUAUAUCGAGAAAUAUUUUGUCAACCCUUUUCAUUAGUGAACUUGUUGCGACUUAGGUUCUUCAAGAAUUCACACAUGGAAAGCAAGAGAAAGUAAGCAAGACUGAGUUUAAAGAAGUUCUUUCAGAUAUUUUACUAGGAAUGGCUGCUGGUCUAAAGCGAGAUCCUAUUGUACUCCUUCGUAUGGAUGGUGAAGAUCUUCUUGAGUUCGUUAAAAGUCCUGCAUUCGAACCAGAGAUGAUUUCCCUGUACUCUGAGUUAGAAUUGCCUGAUGGAUCCCUCAAAGAUUACAUCAUCAAGGCUUUUGAGAAGCUCACGGUUGAUCAAGGGAUGCCUCCUGCAUCAGACUCAUGGGUAGUUCAUUUUUCUCUUUGAUGGCUUAACAUUCAUGUCUAGCUAGAAAUUUUACUCUAGAAGAUUACAUAAAUUUGGUUACUUGCAAGACAUGACAAAUUAACGGUUACAAGUAUAGUCUUUUAAAAUGUGAUUGCUCACUGAUUCGUAAAAUUUGUUGCUUACAAUCCUGUGUAACUUCUUUGUUACACAUUUAUUUUUAUGAUGAGUUCUUUUCUAAUUAUUAGAGCAUAUUACUUUGUUAUUAUCUUGAUCUGUAGGUAAUGAGUAAUGUUGUGGAGCCAGUAGUUGAAUCCUGCAUUGGAGCAACUAACGAGCAACCUGUUACACAAGAAACAUUUUUGGCUGAAUUUAAGAAAGUUGCAGAGAGUGCUGCUCAACGUCUCAAGGAGCAGCCAGUCAUUGUUGCUCACAGCGAGAAUCAUUUGAUGAAUGGAAUUAAAAGACUAUUGUCUAACAACUAAUGGAUAAGGUAUUUACACAUCACCCAUGGUGUUGUCUUGGGACCUAAUAAUAUAAGUAAAAUAUCAUGCUACAAGAAAUGAAAUUUCUUUGGGACUAAUGUCAUACAAAUUAUUAUGGAGCAACUUUCUUAUCCUUGUGGCAUGAGGGUCUUAAAUUUAGUAUGUAUAAUCUACGGUUUAGAUAAUUUGCUUGCUCCUCAUCAGGUUUAUAAAAUUUCACCAAAAUUCUACGAAAUAUAUUAUUUUUUUGCAGAUUAGAUGGCCGAAAGAAAUCGGGCUGUUGUCCAUAAUUGGGGUGGAUAACGCGUUACACGAAGCCCAAACCCAAAAUAGGCCCAAUCUCUGUUGUCAAAGUGUUCCGCACCCGCCAACUUCCACAAACAAACAACGCCUUAAACCCUUGCGAAUUUGGCUGUGAACGUCUUCCUCAUACUCUCAAAAACAGUAUUAGUAUUAUUUUAUGGCGGAAAUGGAUAAUAAUGGGCAAGUCGAAGAGGCUGCAAGGCGUGUACAGGUCCGGUUCGUAACGAAAUUGAAGCCCCCAUUUAAGGCCCCGCCUACUUCCAUUGCUAUUCCCUCCAACCUCACCCGAUUGGGCCUCUCUUCCAUAGCCAACAACCUCCUUAAAGCUGGUAAUUUUUUAGUUCUAACAGAUUCUGCCUACUAUUAGUUUUCUUUUUUUUUUUAAAAAAAAAGGGGGAAUGUAGAUCAUAUAGCUAAGCGGAACUAGUUUGUACCUUAAGCGUAGUUGAUUGAUUGGUUGUGUUUGUGUACCUGAGUUAUAACUUUGAAUUGGUGUGGAAAUGGUUUGCCUUUUGUCGUAGGUAAAUAAUUAUAAUUAUAGAGGAUAUGGUCAUUCACGCUGAAGUAGAUUUUUGUGGGAAAUGAUGAACUCAUGCUAAUUGUCAAUUUGUCUUAAUUGACUAACUCACCUCACUUGACUAGUAGAAUAGAUUGCUAGUUGUGGUCCGAGAUAUUUGUUAUUAUGGGUUAAUGGUGCCAUAAAUGAGUUAUUUUAUCCUUAGAAAUGACUAUCAAAAUGUUAUUUUGUCAAAAUUUGAGUCAGGGAUAAAAGAGUCAGGUUUUACAUUUAACUAAAUAAAAGGAACUGUUCUCACCAAUUCUGCUAUAUGUGUUUUUACUAGUAUGCUUACCUGUUUUCAUUUGAUUGUUAUUAGGAAAGGAUAAUUGGAAUCCUGAGCCUUUCGAUUUUCUCAUUGAUGGAGAACUGGUCCGCAUGUCACUUGAAGAGUUUCUCCUCGCCAAGGGCAUUUCAGCUGUAAGUCUCUUUCCUGACAUCACUACUUGACUGCUAAAAAUAACAGUUAUGUCUCUUCAGACCAACUCAAAAAUAAAAGGUACUCAUGGAGAACUGUUAUUUAUUUCUUAUACAGGAGAAAAUAUUAGAGAUUGAGUACAUUAGAGCUGUGGCUCCAAGAAAACAAGAAGAACCAUCUUUGCAUGACGACUGGGUCAGUGCAGUUGAUGGUUCUAAUUCUAAGUAAGCAUGAGUGUGAAAUUUGUUUUUCAAGAACCUUCAGUGUGAUCCUUGUAAUCUUUUCCGCCUUGUGUAUCUUUCUAUGUUUGAUAUAUUUAAGACUUGAUCUGAGUAUGCUUCGCUUCUAAAGGAACUUCUGUACUAAAAGAGAAUAUUGGCUUAUCCCGAAAAAAAAUAGAGAGCCCUCAUAAUAUAACUUAAUGGACGGUUUUAUGUUUUUGGCUAUUGCAUCUCUGUACCUUAUACAUUGUGCAUUCACUUCACUCAUAGAUAUCUGUUACACACUAGAUUACCGAGGACAAUAUUGAUGAUAUUAUUACAUUGUGCUGCUUUUGUUCCAAGUGUUUUUGAGUUAAAUUUCAUCCUCCGUGUGCUUUUCUCCACUAAAAUAUGGGAUGGUGAUAGUUAAGAAUGUAAUAAUGGUCUUCUUUCCAUACAAUGAAUUAUUGCCUUAACUAACAAUAUGUGCAUAUUUGUGAUCUGUCAGGUUUGUUUUGACUGGAUGUUAUGAUGGCUUAGGAAGGUGAUCCACUGAUUGUAUCUUCUUUUGCUAGUCGCAUUUUUUGGUUCAGAACUCAACUUUUUUUUUUUUUUUAUUAUUACAUCAGCCUAACAUUUGAUAGUGCUAAUCAGAAUAUGGAAGGCUGCCGGAUCUUGUACACAUCUACUGGAGGGCCAUACUGGGGCAGUUACUUCUGUUUGUGUUGUCAACCCAAGAGGUAUCAGAGGGAGAUAGUUUCUCCUCAGUUGCUCAUUUUCUUGCAUUAUGCUUUACCGUCUGCUGCCAUUAUCAUUUAUCUGUGACACCAAAAGUUCAUAGGUAUCAGAGGGAGAUAGUUUUUCCCCAGUUGCUUGUUUUCUAGCAUUAUUCUUUACAGUCUGCUGCCAUUAUCAUUUAUCUGUUCAUACUCUUACAUCACCUGCUUUUGGUAUUUGUUUUUUCGAAUAAUAUUUCUUGUUGAUAUUGCAAUGCUGAAAACACGCUGGAUACCAAAAACUAUUACCAGCAUGAGAAUAAUGCGGACAUAUAAUUUGACAUUCUCCUGGAUGUUUUACUUCUUUGUGUUUCAUUUCUUCCGCAAUUCUGUCUGUGUUUAUCAUAUUUAUACCUUUUAUUUUCUUAAGUGGCUCAAGAUGGCGCUGAUCAAAUAGUCGUUACGGCUUCCAAGGAUAGGACACUGCGGCUCUGGAAGGUAACAUGAUGUGCCUUUACUACGAAUAACUCUCUGCCUAAUUCGUGAUCUUCCUCUAAUUAGUAUUUGUUUGGCUUAAAAGUUUGAUUCAGAUGAGCCUUCAGAUCAGAUAAAGAGGAUUAGAGCAUAUAAAAUUUUACAUGGACAUAAUUCUUCUGUUCAAAGUGUUGCAGCAAAUCCUGCUGGAGAUAUGGUCAUUCAUCUCUUCACUUAAUUGAUCAUUUGAAGCUUUUUAAUUACGUAUUUGAUUAUAAGAAGUUUACUGACUCCCUGUUUUUGUUGUGUUGGACAGGUGUGUUCAGGGUCCUGGGAUUGCCAAAUAGCUCUGUGGCAAGCAAGUGGCUCAGAUACAGGUGAUGUAAUUUCAGUCAAGAGAAGGAAGAAGGAUGCCAAAGAGGAGGAUCCUCUAGUAGAAGUAUGGCCACAUUUCUUCUAACUUGUCUAGGUUAAAGAUAGAAAAAUACAUCUAUUUCAUGCCACAUAGUGUUAGAAAUCCAUGACCUGUUUAAUACGGAUAAUGUGUUUGUUCUAACAUCUACCUUAUCCCAAAAAAAGGGUAAUGUGUCUGUUCACAAAACCAGUGAAAAAGAAGGAAAGAACAGUUUAUGGCUGUUGUUACUAUUUGAUUUCAAAAACUUUUCAGUGCAAGGCAUAUACUUAACAAAACAAUCUACUUUUACUCUUUGGCAAAACCUCUUCUUCCCUGAACCCUAUUUUGAAUCCUUCUUCAUCCUACCUCUCAUAUGCCACACCCAUCCAAUUGUCCCAACUUUGUGUUGCUACUCCCUCAAUUUUAAAUUAUGUGACAUAGUUUGAACCAGCACGGAGUUUAAGAAUAAAAUGAAGAUUUUGGGUACGUGUGGUCUAAAAUAUGCCAUAACAUUUGUGUGGCUGUAAAGAUUUUGAAACUGGCUAUCUGUCCGGUAGAUUCCUCCCUUGUUCCUUAUCUACCACCUUUGUUGUCAUUAUAUUCUUCUUUUCAAAGUUGUUUCAACAACAAUUUUGUGCCAGUCCAACGUGUUUCUGACUUUCUAUGUUGUAUCUCAUAGAAAAUUGAUAUUGAUUAGCAAAAUCUUUUGUCCCUUUUGAUGAAAGACAAACAACCUUCUGAUUUCCUUAAAUGACGAUGUUCAUCAAUGCAACUGAAGGACCAAACUAAUGUUGAAAUUGGUGUUCGAAAUAUGUCGGUCUUUGGCUCACUCUGAGUUGCUUAAUCUUUGUUCUGUCUCUUCCUUUUUUAUUUUUUUUAUUUUCUUUUCAAAAGAUUUUUUAAUGAUUGUUAUCCUAAUCUUGUAAAUAAUUUUCUCACAUCUUAUGCUCACAGGAGGAGGCUAAAUCUACACUUGUAGGACAUACACAAUGUGUGUCUACCGUGGUGUGGCCACAAGAUGAAGCAAUCUAUUCAGCAUCGUGGGAUCACUCUAUUAGAAGAUGGGAUGUUGAAUUGGGCAAGGAUUCGUUGAACCUGGUGACAUGCCAUCUCUUUUCUUCUGUUCUUCCAGUCACAUCUUUACUGUCAUGUGCAUGCUUUCCUAAACUUACGUACAUAUGGAUCGGAGAGGGAGAAGUAAAUAUCAACUUGCAGAAUAUGAAAUUAUGAAAAAAAUGUGGAAGGUGUCGCACUCAGAUAUGCCAAUCCUAGUGAUAUUGCUUUCCUUUUUUGUCAGAGAUAACAUUUCUCUUCAGCAGUUAACAAUCAUAUUUUUAAAAAUUACACCGUCUUGAAGAAAAAGAUACCUCCCCAUCAUGACAAGUAGCUGGGUUUGAACUUUGGUAAUACCAAAAUGUAUCUUUCUUUUUUAAGUCUGUUCUGUUGAGAGCUUGAAACUGUAUUUUCCUGAAAGUAUGGAUGAUGAUCGCCUUCCUCUUCAACAGUAUUGCGACAAAGUCAUUAAUUGCCUUGAUGUUGGAGGUGAAGGUUCUGCCCUCAUUGCUGGUGGUGGUUCUGACCCCAUUCUUAGGAUAUGGGAUCCUCGCAAACCAGGUUUCUUUCUUUUUCUGUACAACUUGCAGAAGCACUUUUAAACAUCCACUUGAACUUGGAAAACCUCGUCUCUAUGUGCUUAAAUACCUUUUUCUCUGUAUUUAUUGUCCAAGUAACUGUGACCUUACAUCACAUAUUGAUAUAUACUCUUUCAUUUACCACUUAACAGGUACUUCGGCUCCUGUCUAUCAGUUCUCAUCGCACAGUUUUUGGAUAUCCACCUGCAAGUGGCAUGAAAAGUCACGGUUUCACUUGCUUUCUGCAUCAUAUGAUGGAAAAGUAAUGUUAUGGGACUUGAGAACUGCGGUUAGUACUACACUUUUUACGUCUCUAUUAUUAGUAGUACGACUCUUUAUAAGCACUUACAUUUUCUGUUCCUGGGUAAAAUAAUUUGUGUUGCAGUGGCCCCUUGCUGUCAUUGACACUCACAAUGACAAGGUACUAUUUUUGCCUUCUAAGAUUUGGUUUAAGAGUAUUUGUUCUACUAUAGCAUUUCCUAAACAUCAGGCUGUCAAUACAGGUACUAUGUGCGGAUUGGUGGAAAGGUGAAAGUGUUGUCAGUGGUGGGGCUGACUCGAAACUUUGCAUCUCUUCUGAUGUUUGUGUGUUGUGAUAUAGAGGUAAAUUACUCUAUUUUUUGUGUAGAGCUUUGAAACCUAUUAUCUUUCAUCACUUUGUUCACUGGAGUAGAACAGGUUAUUUGAAAAAGGAUUAGAACUCAUCAUAAUACAAUUCGCAGACUGAUGGUUGAUGUGUUUUACUAACCACCCUAUUUGAAGCACUCGAUCCCUUGAUUGAAAUGAUGGUAGCUGUGACAAUUGUUCACUUGGCUAAUUUUCUUUCAGGAUUGAUCUCCCCUCCCCUAUUGCAGAGGCGACGGUGCUCCAUAUUGAUGCGAUUUUGCUAAUAGAAUUCGUUGGGUCAAGCUGAAGUUGUGAUAAUUUACUUCAUAAAACAAUUUUGUCUGUGCUAAAGUAUAGUCUAUAAAUGGUUUGUAUCAUAUAUUCCUGUGAGUUAGAUUGAAUUGAAGUUGUAUCUCGCGGAUGUACAUUUUUAUUUUAUUACAAGAUAUUUACCCUCAAGCAAAUUGAUCAAGAGUUACUAUUUUCAACCAUUGAACUAUCCAAACACUGAUUUCAUGUGUUAUUGAGUGACUGCAACUUGUCAUCCAGGAAUAUGACGAAUUGAUCGAUGUUCUUGGUUUGUUAGUUAAAGAUUUGGUGUUCGAAUUAACAUUUUUAGUAAUAAAGCACGUGUCAUGUUACAAACACGCGAAGCAUCGAUCCGUUAUUCUUGGCCAGUCCAAGUGUCCACAAAGCCCAUGGAAUCCACAUCCGGCCCACUAAAUUGUAAGCCCUGGCCCAUGAGAACCAAAUUACGUGUAUACCAGGGUAUACGUGCCCCACAAAAAAGGACACGCGUCACAUAGUAAGCAAGAAAAAAAAGUUUCAAAUCCCAUGAGGUCACAAAGACUUCGUACAAUUGCCCACCCUAACCGCCCCAUCUGUCCCAACCACACAAAAUAUAUAUAUUUGAAAUUGCUCUAUAUUACUUAUUCAUAUUUUUUUAAUAAAAUAAAUUUCAUGUCUAAGAAUACAAGAUAAAAAAUAAUUUUAUAUAUUUAAUAUAAUUUUAAUUUCUUAAAUUUCAUAUCACAUUUUUUUUAAAACAAAGAAAGUAUUAGUUUCAUCCCAAACAAUUAUCAGGCUUAAAUACUUUUUGAUUGACUCUGCUUAAAUACACAAACCUAUCUCAACCUCUCCUAAAAGUGCUUAUUUAAAACCAACAGUGAACAUAAGGUGUCCUUAUUGUCACAUCGUUUUCUCUAGAACUCUCUCUCAAAAGAAGUAGUACACAUAAGUCAUACUAGUAUACAUUGAUUUGAGACGCACCUUUUCUUUUCUUUUUUUUAGAAGAGAAGAGAAAAGAAAAAGAAAGUUGGUCACGAGGAGAAAGUGAGUUGUGUUGACAAGGAAUUAAAUUAAAAAUGGAGAAAAAUGAAUUGAUGAAGUUGAAAAGUAGUGAGAGUCAGGUGAUGGACGGUUCAGAUAUAAUGAAGUUAGUUGGAAAUGAGGCUGUGUUUAGUAACUUUGUAGAUCAUAAGUUUGAAGAACUUGACAUAGACAAAGACGGUAAACUUUCAGUGAAGGAGUUACAACCUGCUGUUGCUGAUAUUGGUGUUGCCCUUGGUUUACCUCCUCAAGGUUCUUCCCCUGAAUCUGAUCAUAUCUACUCUGAGGUACUUCCAUUUCUCACUUCAAAAAUACCAUAAAAACUUGUCAGGUUUGUUAGUAUUAAAUAAAUUUAUCAGGUUACUUUAUCCAUCAAAACCUAACUAGGAGUAACAUUUUUUUUGUUUCCGUUGAAUUUUGAACCACGAUCCCUCUAAUUUUCACCCACUUUGUUGAUGUUGUUACAUAUUCUUAAACAAAUAUAUAUACACAUGUAUUUUGGUUAAUUAUUGGUUGAAAUAGUAAAUGCAUAUCGCAAAUGGUACUGGUAUGGGGCCGUAAGAAGCCAGAUGUUUAAUGAUUACAGAGUGCUUGAGAUGAGACAGCAACUCAACUGGACUCUUGUGUUUGGACUGUUUAUUUAUUUUCUUCAUUUUUUUAAUUCAAGGGUUCAAGUUAUCAAGUUUCAAAGUCAUGGAUAUGGAUGCGGUUCCAUUUGCACGCACUCAAAUAUUUUUAAGGGAUAGUCCAAAAAUAGAUAUUUUAAUAUCGCCUAACUCCCAAAUAAACAAUUAAACUUUUGAAAAUGUGUAUCUAGGCACUUUAACUUUUAAGUUGUCCUAUAAAUACCACACAACUUUGAGAAUGUAGUCCGUUGAAGGUGUCUGAUGUGUAUAAACAAAGUUAAAAGGUGUUCGUGAGGUGCACCUAUGUAAGUAGAAGAGUUCAUGAAAAAAAUUACACCAUAUAUAGAUAGCUUAAUAUCCUAGUUGAAAAUAUUAUUUAUUCAAAAAUAGUGUAUGUCUUUUGAUGAGUCUUGGCAUUUAAGUUGUUCUGUCUGUACUUUUUUUUGUUUUUUGUCCCCCUCCUUUUUCCUUAACCAUUUGGAAUCACCAUUGAAGAAGAGAUGGAGAUUGCCUAGAAAUGUUCUUCUUUUUUUUUUUAACUUCUUAAUUUUUGAAUCUGCCGACAAUGAUGAUAUGGACAGAAAAAAUUUGGUUAAUUCUAUUUUUUAAAGAUUGUUCUCAGAGGCAGCAUUCAUACUUUUUAUGGACAGGUACCUGUAAAAGUUUUUUACAUUGUCAGUGUAUAGUAGUUAAAUUCUUCUCUAUAUCGAGAAAUAUUUUGUCAACCCUUUUCAUUAGUG
rnacentral:lncRNA from 1 species